GGCUCUUGUUUUGUUUUUGUUUUGUUUUUUAAUCAAAUCUGCUACUCUGUGUCUUGGUUUGGAGCAUUUAGUCCAUUGAUAUUUAAGGUGAUUUUUGAUAGAUACGUAUUUAUUGCCAUUUUAAACCUUAUUUCUCACUGAUUUUUAUAUUUCUUCUUUGGCUCUUCUUUCUUUUUUUUCCUCUUGUGCUUUGAUGAUUUUCUUUUGUUUUUAUUUCUUUUUUAAAAUUUAAUUUUUUUGGAAUAUAGUUGAUUUACAAAGUUAUUUUUGUUUCUGGUGAGUUGCAAAAUGAAUCAGUCAUACAUAUAAAUAUAUCCUUUUUUUCAUAUGGGUUAUUACAAACCAUUGAGUAGAUUUUCCCGUGUUAUACAAUAUGUUCUCAUUGAUCAUCUGUUUCAUACAGUAGUGUGUAUAUUUUAUUCACACCCUCCCAAUUCUUCCUCCCUCCCAACAGUUUCAUCUAUGGUUAAUAUAAGAUUGGUUUUGAAAUCCGUAAGCGUGUUUCCAUUUUUCUUUCUUUUUUUUUUUUGUUAUGGCCAGGCCUGCAGUAUAUAGAAAUUCCCAGGCUAGGGUUGAAUUGGAGCGGCAGCUGCAGGCCUAUGCCACAGCCACAGCAACAUCAGAUGUGACUGAUGCCGCAGCUUGUGGCAAGACCAGAUCCUUUACCCACUGAGCAAGGCCAGGGAUCUAACCUGCAUCCUCACAGACACUAUGUUGGAUUCUUAACUCACUGGGCCACAAUGGGAACUCCUGAUUCUGUGUUUGUUGUUGUUGUUCGCUUUUUAGGGCUACACCCAUGGCAUAUGGAAAUUCCCAGGCUAGGGGUCGAAUCAGAGCUACAGCUGCUGGCCUAUGCCACAGCCACAGCAAGAGUGGGAUCUGAGCCAAGUCUGCCACCUACACCACAGCUCACAGCACUGCUGGAUCCCUACCCACUGAGAGAGGCUAGUGAUCAAACCCACAUCCUCAUGGAUUCUAGUCAGAUUCAUUUCCACUGUGCCAUGAAGGGAACUCCCCUGAUUCUGUUUUUUUAAAAUAAGUUCUUUUGUAUCAUUUUUAUUAGAUUCUACAUACAAGUGAUAUCAUAUGAUAUUUGUCUUUGACAUACUUCACUCAGUAUGAUAAUCUUUAGGUCCAUCCAUUUUGCAGUAAAUGGCAUUAUUUCAUUCUGUUUUAUGGCUGAAUAAUAUUCAAUUGUAUAUAUAUAUGUACCACAUCUUUAUUCAUUCCUCUAUUAGUGGACAUCUAGGUUGUUUACAUGUCUUGACUAUUGUAAAUAGUGCUGCUAUGAAUAUUGGGGUGCAUGUAUCUUUUCAACUUGUGGUUUUCUCUGGAUAGAUGCCCAGGAGUGGGAUUGUUGGAUCAAAUGGUAAUUCUGUUUUUAGUUUUCUGAAGAAUCUCUAUACUGUUUUCCACAGUGGUUGUACAAAUUUACAUUCCCACCAACAGUAUAGGAGAGUCCCCUGUUUUCCUCACCCUCUUCAGCAUGUAUUCUUUAUAGACUUUUCAAUGAUGGCUAUUCUGGUUACUGUAAGGUGGUAUUUCAUUGUAGUUUUGACUUGCGUUUCUCUAAUAAUUAGUGAUGUUGGGCAUCUUUUCCUGUGUUUUUGGGCCAUCUGUCUGUCUUCUUUAGAUAAAUGUCUAUUUAGAGCUGCACAGUUUUUUGCUGGUUUUUGUUUUUGAUAGAAAGCUGCAUGAGAUGUUUGUUUAUUUUGGAGGUUAAUCCCUUGUUAGUCACUUCAUUUGCAAACAGUUUUGCCCAUUCUGCGAUUGUCCUUUCAUUUUUUUUUUAUGGUUUCCUUUGCUGUGAAAAAGCCUUUAAGUUUAAUUAGGUCUCAUGUGUUUAUUUUUGUUUUUAUUUCCAUCACUCUAGGUGACGGAUCCAAAAAAAAAAAAA
rnacentral:lncRNA from 1 species